AUGGUGCGGCCCAGGGCAGCCUGCUCCUAACAGGAGAUGGGUGAGCUGAGAGUAGCAGGGGUGCUUUCUGCAGGGCUCACCCAUGUCCUGGAGGCAGAAAGCACACAGAGGGGCACCUCUGCCAGCAGAGAUGGGUCUGGUGGUGCUCUCAAGGCCUGUUUGGAAAGCAGGAGGCUCCUAUAAGCUCGGGGAAGGACAUCGUGUGCUGGAGCAGAACCUCGGGGGCACAGAGGGAGCAAUCACACUGAAAUAGAGCCUCAUGGUGCAGGACUUCUCACGGAAGGAAGGAAGGGCUCACACCACCGGCCUGCAGCAGGAGGGGACAUGGCAAGAGGCAGAGGAAGCAGCUCCAUGAGGCUAGAGGGGGAUUGGUACCCACUGCCCCAGGUAGGAGGGUUGCACU